rnacentral:rRNA from 1 species
UACGGGGGGGGCAAGCGUUGUUCGGAAUUACUGGGCGUAAAGGGCGCGUAGGCGGCUCGCUAAGUCGGGUGUGAAAACUCUGGGCUCAACCCAGAGCCUGCAUUCGAAACUGUCGAGCUAGAGUUCUGGAGGGGAAAGCGGAAUUCCUGGUGUAGCGGUGAAAUGCGUAGAUAUCAGGAGGAACACCGGUGGCGAAGGCGGCUUUCUGGACAGAAACUGACGCUGAGGCGCGAAAGCUAGGGGGGCAAACAGG